rnacentral:rRNA from 1 species
UAGUACUCUAGUGGGCAUGCCUGUUCGAGCGUCAUUACGACCCUUAAGCCUAGCUUAGUAUUGGGAACCUACGUGCGGCAGCUACCCUGUAGCUACCCUGUAGCUCCUUAAAGACAACGGCGGAGACGUGGAGUCCUCUGAGCUUAGUAACUUUUCUAGCUUCUGAAGGCGCCGCGGCCCCUGCCGUAAAACCCCCAACUCUUUAGUGGUUGACCUCGGAUCAGGUAGGAAUACCCGCUGAACUUAAGCAUAUCAAUAAGCGGAGGAAAAGAAACCAACAGGGAUUGCCUUAGUAACGGCGAGUGAAGCGGCAACAGCUCAAAUUUGAAAGCUGGCCUUCGGGUCCGCGUUGUAAUUUGUAGAGGAUGCUUUUGGUUAGGUGCCUUACGAGUUCCCUGGAACGGGACGCCUUAGAGGGUGAGAGCCCCGUACGUUUGGUUACCGAGCCUCUGUAAAGCUCCUUCGACGAGUCGAGUAGUUUGGGAAUGCUGCUCUAAAUGGGAGGUAAAUUUCUUCUAAAGCUAAAUACCGGCCAGAGACCGAUAGCGCACAAGUAGAGUGAUCGAAAGAUGAAAAGCACUUUGAAAAGAGGGUUAAAUAGCACGUGAAAUUGUUGAAAGGGAAGCGUUUAUGACCAGACUUUUUCCUGGCGGAUCAUCCGGUGUUCUCAC